rnacentral:lncRNA from 1 species
AAAUACGGAAAUUUAUAAUAGUCUAAAUACUAAUACACGACUACCCAAAAUCUGGUGUCACAAUCCACGAACUUCUAAGAGUUACUACAAAUAUUGGUAUAAAAAAAAUACAUUUGUUCUUGAAAUACAGGAAAAUAGGGAAGCUAGGAUAUAAGGAAGGGGACUCCAGGGUCUACGAAUACCGGCAGAUCUACCUUGGGUUUCCUGUGGACUGAAGGCAGCAACCCAAAACUCUAAUCAGUGCGGUCCAGUACCGGGAUCUGCACAGAAAGUGCAGAGUGCAGUAUCAGUACAACCAACUCCAUGUACUGGUAAGUGUCGAGCCUAACCUCGGCGAAGUAGUGAUGAGGCUAGUACACGACAAUAACAUGAACAUGUGCAAUUAAAUCACAUACAAGAAAAUAACAACAAUGGAAAUUUAACAGAUAAAAAAGGGGGAAAACAUGUUGAGGAGAAAUAUCAAACCCUGAAAUUAGUACAGUACAGGAACACAGUAAAUAUCAUGCUUUGAACCGACGGAUAUUAUAGCAUAACAAACAUGUGCACGGCAUCACCCUUCGUGCUUUUACUCUCAUCCUUACCAUAAGAAACAACAGAACGGCACAGCAUCACCCUUCGUGCACUAACUCUCUCAUAACAUGGCACGGCAUCACCCUUCGUGCAUUAUCAAAAUCAGAAUACGGCACGGCAUCACCCUUCACGCAUUAUCACUCACAGGAUAUGGCACGACAUCACCCUUCAUGCAUUAACACUCACUCACAAUAUCUUGUACGACAUCAUCCUUCGUGUUUUACAAAUGAUGCACAUAUCGUGGUUGUGCCCAUUGGGAUUAUGGAAAUCCUGGUGGACUUUGGACAAGAUUUUCUUAGAGGAUUAUUAUGCGGACAACAUAUUAACCUAGGCUAGGUUUGAUCAUGAUGCAUGUAUAGUUAUUAUCAGAGUAAGGUUUCUAUAGAAGUCUAGACUGGUACCCUCAAGCGGACAACUUGAGAGGGAAAGGCACGGAACCAUCGACUGCACCGCUGGUCAACUAGUUUUACCGCAAAUAAGCCUUUCCAAAUUUAAAGGGUAAUUUUAGAAAGAGCGCAGACACUCAUCAAGCGUCGCUAUAGUAUUAGUACGCAUGAGUGGAAUAUGAUGUUGAGCAUGCAGUUAUGCAAAAGAAAAUAACAUCUUGUCAAGUAUUUGCACGAUGAAUAAUGAUAAGAUGCGGUAUUUAAUAAUUGUAAAGGCAUUUAAGAAAGAAAAAUAAGGAGACAAGUCAAUUUCCAUCGUAAAAAUGAUAAAACAGGGAAGAGAAAUCAUAAAUGAAUGAAGAUAGGCAAAUAAAUUCACAUAAAAUGGGAAGGGGAAGGGGUGUGCAAGUAUUAACGGAAUAAUAAAGACAUGCUUAAAGACUAAUUCACAAACAAGUUUGUUAUGGUAAGAGCUUAAAGAUAUCCCUAGCAGAGUCGACAUACUAUCACGCCUCCUUUUUCUCGCGAAAUUGGGUUUCGACAUUUCUGGGACAUUUCCUUUUUGAGAGGGUAGGAAUUGGAAUUGAGAGAGUCGCCACCUAACGGAUUAAGGUGUGUAGGGCACCUAGAGUAGAUAACUCAUGUUACCACUUUACAUCACCAGAGAUCGGGUAAGGGCUGAAAAUUACCUUGAGGGGAAGGUGUUAGGCAUCCCUUGAGGUCCACAACGGUGGGUCCCGGUCGAACUUAACUUAUGAAUUAGUCUAAUAAAGAAGCAAGAGGAAUAUUUAAUAGGGAUGGGGGGUCCUUUUAUCAUUUGUUUUAAUAAAAGAACAUGGACAGAGAGUUAUUAAAGAAAACAUAAGAUUUGAACCAAAUGCGGUUCAAUUAAAUAAGGUUAAAACCCUAGUUUAAGUAAGUAAAGAUUUAACGAAAAAUAGGCAGAUUUAUGAGUAACAAAGUGAAUAUAGACGAAAAAUAACAUUAAAACAAAAUAAAGCUCAACCAAAUCUGGUUCGAAUCAAAGAUUUGAAAACCCUAACUUUAGGUUAGGUACGAAUCAGUGGAAGAUAUGAAAAUAUUCGUACUCACCUAGGAAAGCUGAUGAACAUAGAUUGAAAGGAGCAAAGAUCUUAACCGGAUUCAGUUCACAAUAGGAGAGAUCUGCUUGCCAUGUUAGGCAAGCAAUUAUGGAAUACCAUAAAUGAGUGGCUAGUAGCGAGAAAGGCUCAAUAAGGUAAGGGAAUCAUUGAUUGAUUCCAUCUUAGGAUGGAAUCGGAGGGGCUAAUAGGUGACGACGCUAGGGUUUUGAGAGGAACAAGAUGAAAGAGAGAGAGUGUAUAGAAACGGCAGGUUGGGGUAAAGUGAUUUAGGGUUUGGGCGGAAGGGUACAAUUAAAGGGGUGAGGGUGUUG